rnacentral:lncRNA from 1 species
GACAAUAUAACAAAUCAGAUAAAGAUAGGGGGAGUCCCUGAGGUCACUGUUCACCCUCCUGUUUGAGAACUUGGAAAUGGUCAAGAUCCUUACCCCUAAACCAUAUAUACUCAUGUAUGGGACAAUAUAACAAAUCAAAUGAAAUAUAAGGGAAGUCCCUGUGGUCAUCCCAACCCUCCUGUUUGAGAACUUGGAAACGGUCGACAUCCCCACACCAAAACAAUAUAUAUUCAUGUAUGG